GACGAACGCUGGCGGCGUGCCUAAUACAUGCAAGUAGAACGCACAGUUUAUACCGUAGCUUGCUACACCAUAAACUGUGAGUUGCGAACGGGUGAGUAACGCGUAGGUAACCUGCCUGGUAGCGGGGGAUAACUAUUGGAAACGAUAGCUAAUACCGCAUAAUAUUAAUUAUUGCAUGAUAAUUGAUUGAAAGAUGCAAUUGCAUCACUACCAGAUGGACCUGCGUUGUAUUAGCUAGUAGGGGAGGUAACGGCUCACCUAGGCGACGAUACAUAGCCGACCUGAGAGGGUGAUCGGCCACACUGGGACUGAGACACGGCCCAGACUCCUACGGGAGGCAGCAGUAGGGAAUCUUCGGCAAUGGACGAAAGUCUGACCGAGCAACGCCGCGUGAGUGAAGAAGGUUUUCGGAUCGUAAAGCUCUGUUGUAAGAGAAGAACGGGUGUGAGAGUGGAAAGUUCACACUGUGACGGUAUCUUACCAGAAAGAGACGGCUAACUACGUG
rnacentral:rRNA from 1 species